UGAAAAGCCUUAUAUCAUUCAGGUUUUUAACUCUGACCUAAUAAAUCAUGGUCUCUUCUGAUUUGUAUAUGUUGGCCCUGAAAGAGGCUGUGCCUGCUGUGAUGGUGGUAUAAGAGGUGGACCCAAGUUGAGCAGGGUUUUACCUGUGGCUGAUGCUGCAAAUGGUGGGCAUUUGAUUCGUUAAACUAUGCAGGUUCUAGAAUUUGACAUAUAAUAAGCUGUUCUGAAACAAUUGCAGCAACAAUUGUUGGAGAGGUGAGUUACAGCACAUGGGUCGUGACUGUAGCUGUGAAGUGGUAGCUGAUGAAUUGAUUUGUGUGUGAUUUCGCGAGUAGAAGUACUAACAAAUACCUGUGGCGGGCUGUUGCUGCCCUUCUUGUGGGUCAAGUGGAUAGUACUUGCAGUUUGCUACUCGUGAUAGGUGCCUAGCUUGUUUGCUGAUUUUGUUUUUAGCAAGCAGUGGUUGCCUUUUUUUCUGGGUUCAAGUUGGCAAAGAUGAGCUGUCAUGCUUCGUGGUGAUGGCUGGCUACCUUUGUUGCUGACUGUUGCUUGAAUUGAACCAAAAGAUCUGCCUUGACUUGCACAUCUGUGUAUGAAACAAAUUACGUAUUUUCUCUCUUUCUCUUUUGCCUUCUUAUUUUACCAUGAGAACUUAAUUAUAAGCUUCAUAUAUUGAUGUAUGAAUGAGUGCCAUUUAUCUAUAACGUUUCUUCUACCGUGAUUGUUGGAGACAAAUAUCUAGCAGAUUAACCUUGCUACAGUUAUGGGUAUUGAUGUUAAUCAUCUUCAAACACUUUGUUUAGAAAAAAUAAAUUUGAGGGAAAAAAAGCAAGCAAAGAAUCUAUUAUCAAAUCUAUGUUCUUUUAUGUUAGAAUGUCUAUUUGAUUUAAUUUUACUACAGUUGUGGGUGGAAGAUGUCUGAUGAUUUUACUACAGUUUGGAAUAAAUGAAUUUCAAAAGAAGCUAGUGUAGGAUUUAUUACUAAAUCUAUAUUUUCUUAUUUUUGUAGUGGAUACUUAAAAAUGUUAAUGAAAUGUGAAAUUAAUUCAUUUCAGUUUGGUUGAGUCCCAACAUAUGGGGGUUCAAUACUUUACAAACCCCAUCGGGGCCUUGAAGGAAGAAAUGAAAUGUGAAAUUCAUCUGUUCUGAACUUAGCAGCUCGGAAUUUGAAUUUUAUUUCUGCUUGAUUUUCCAGUGUUUAUGCUGGUCUGUGUUCUAAUUUUUUAUGUUUUGUUGGUAGUUCCUGGUUUAUGAAGCUUCUAUAUUGUAUUGUUUAUUUUUAUUUUUGAACUAGGUUGAAAUGUACGCCUGCAAAAAGAAGAAAAAUGAAACAAAAGAUUGUGGCAAAAUUUGUGUGCCUCUAAUGGAAAAAAGGAAAUUAUCAAAUAAAAGCAUGUUUUCUUUACUCUUUAAGUGGGGAUGGCUCUCUUUGUACUUCUCAAUUUUGCUUGGGUUGCGGAUUUUGCUUUUAUCAACCUGAACACCAGUAAAUUUAUUUACUCACCUUUUCAUGGGUUUUGGUGACGAUAGUUUUGUCUUUGUGUUGUUUUGUUCUGUGAUAUGCCUGUAACCAUGUUUAUUCUCUUUGGAGCAUGACAGAGGCGUGGCCCUGCUACCUCUUAUUUGUUUUGGUACUUGGUAGUUUCUUGUUAUUUUCUCCUUAUAGUUGGUCGUGGGCAUUGAGAGCUCAGUUCCCUUUAGACAUGGUAUAGAUGAAAUCCAAGCAGAUCAGGGUGCAGUUGCCAUAGUGAAUUCAGGGUGCUUUGGAGAUAUGAUUGGCCAAUAUUCUAAGAGGGGAUUCAGGAGCAGUGUGUUUCAAACUGCUGAGCCAGAUGUGAAUGUGGAAUAUGGUCGGGCCGAUCAUUUUCUGUUGCUUGUCUUUUGGGUUUCGGCAGUGCAGUAAGUACACUCUGCAUUGAGUUCUGUGCAGAGAAACAUGGUUACUUCACAAGUAUGCCUAAUUUGUUUUAGCGUUCCAUUUAGAAUUGUUUCUUCUUCCCUUGUAAAAAGAACAUCUUCUAAUUAUAUGUUAAGAAUUGUUUGUGCUUA